UGUAGCCCCAUGGUAUGAAAUACACCUUUUAUACCUUCUGACAGUUUACAGAAAAGGAGGUUUGGUCCCGAAAUGGAGAUGUACCUACUGAACAGCCAAUAAGAACGUUCUGGAUGGAGGGACUGGCCCAAUGCCAUGCUUAACGCCGGGGACCAAGACGCUGUGGGACAACUUUGAGCGCAGGGUGAUUGACGGAAGUCAUAAAACCAAAGUGCCGGCACUAGAUUUUUGUGGGGAAGAUGUUCAAGAUGGAGGUGUGGGAGAAGCUGCUGACCUCCAUGAGGAUCGGAGAGGUGGCCGAGUUCUGGUGUGAUGGCGUUGACAAUGACCCAACACACCUCCAGGCUGUGUAAGGGCUAUUUGACCAAGAAGGAGAGUGAUGGGAGUGCUACAUCAGAUGACCUGGCCACCACAAUCACCUGACCUCAACCCAAUUGAGAUGGUUUGAGAUGAGUUGGACCGCAGAGUGAAGGAAAAGCAGCCAUCAAUUGCUCAGAAUAUGUGGGACCUCCUUCAAGACGGUUGGAAAAGCAUUCCAGGUGAAGCUGGUUGAGAGAAUGCCAAGAGUGUGCAAAGCUGUCAUCAAGGCAAAUGGUGGCUCCUUUGAAGAAUCUCAAAUCUGAAUAUAUAUUUUGAUUUGUUUAACACUUUUUUUGGUUACUACAUAAUUCCAUAUGUGUUCUUUCAUAGUUUUGAUGUCUUCACUAUUAGUCUACAAUGUAGAAAAUAGUAAAUAUGAAGAAAAACACUUGAAUGAGUAGGUGUGUCCAAACUUUUGACUGGCACUGUAUAUAUAGGGGUAAGGUGACUAGGCAUCAGGAUAUAUGUUAAACAGAGAAGCUGUAGCGUAAAUGAUGAUUGUAUGUGAGUGUAUGUGUAGAGUCAGUAUAAAUAUAUGUGGGUGUUAUGUAUGUGUUGGAAUGUCAGUGUGUGCGAGUGUGUAGAGUCCUGUG